GGCGGCGUGCCUAAUACAUGCAAGUAGAACGCUGAAGGAGGAGCUUGCUUCUCUGGAUGAGUUGCGAACGGGUGAGUAACGCGUAGGUAACCUGCCUGGUAGCGGGGGAUAACUAUUGGAAACGAUAGCUAAUACCGCAUAAGAGUAGAUGUUGCAUGACAUUUGCUUAAAAGGUGCAAUUGCAUCACUACCAGAUGGACCUGCGUUGUAUUAGCUAGUUGGUGGGGUAACGGCUCACCAAGGCGACGAUACAUAGCCGACCUGAGAGGGUGAUCGGCCACACUGGGGCUGAGACACGGCCCAGACUCCUACGGGAGGCAGCAGUAGGGAAUCUUCGGCAAUGGACGGAAGUCUGACCGAGCAACGCCGCGUGAGUGAAGAAGGUUUUCGGAUCGUAAAGCUCUGUUGUAAGAGAAGAACGAGUGUGAGAGUGGAAAGUUCACACUGUGACGGUAUCUACCA
rnacentral:rRNA from 1 species